GAUGAACGCUGGCGGCGUGCCUAAUACAUGCAAGUCGAGCGAACGGACGAGAAGCUUGCUCCUCUGAUGUUAGCGGCGGACGGGUGAGUAACACGUGGAUAACCUACCUAUAAGACUGGGAUAACUUCGGGAAACCGGAGCUAAUACCGGAUAAUAUUUUGAACCGCAUGGUUCAAUAGUGAAAGACGGUUUUGCUGUCACUUAUAGAUGGAUCCGCGCCGCAUUAGCUAGUUGGUAAGGUAACGGCUUACCAAGGCAACGAUGCGUAGCCGACCUGAGAGGGUGAUCGGCCACACUGGAACUGAGACACGGUCCAGACUCCUACGGGAGGCAGCAGUAGGGAAUCUUCCGCAAUGGGCGAAAGCCUGACGGAGCAACGCCGCGUGAGUGAUGAAGGUCUUCGGAUCGUAAAACUCUGUUAUUAGGGAAGAACAAAUGUGUAAGUAACUAUGCACGUCUUGACGGUACCUAAUCAGAAAGCCACGGCUAACUACGUG
rnacentral:rRNA from 1 species